rnacentral:rRNA from 1 species
GCCAUAUCAAUAAGCGGAGGAAAAGAAACCAACAGUGGAUUGCCUCAGUAGCGGCGAGUGAAGCGGCAAAAGCUCAAAUUUGAAAUCUGGCGUCUUUGGCGUCCGAGUUGUAAUUUGAAGAAGGUAUCUUUGGGCCCGGCUCUUGUCUAUGUUCCUUGGAACAGGACGUCACAGAGGGUGAGAAUCCCGUGCGAUGAGAUGACCCGGGUCUGUGUAAAGUUCCUUCGACGAGUCGAGUUGUUUGGGAAUA